rnacentral:tRNA from 12 species
GGGCUCAUAGCUCAGUUGGUUAGAGCGUCACGUUGACAUCGUGGAGGCCAGAGGUUCGAGUCCUCUUGAGCCCA